CUGACGAGUUUGAUCAUGGCUCAGAACGAACGCUGGCGGCAGGCCUAACACAUGCAAGUCGAGCGCCCCGCAAGGGGAGCGGCGGACGGGUAAGUAACGCGUGGGAACGUACCCUUUGCUACGGAAUAGCCUCGGGAAACUGGGAGUAAUACCGUAUGUGCCCUUCGGGGGAAAGAUUUAUCGGCAAAGGAUCGGCCCGCGUUGGAUUAGGUAGUUGGUGGGGUAAUGGCCUACCAAGCCGACGAUCCAUAGCUGGUUUGAGAGGAUGAUCAGCCACACUGGGACUGAGACACGGCCCAGACUCCUACGGGAGGCAGCAGUGGGGAAUCUUAGACAAUGGGGGCAACCCUGAUCUAGCCAUGCCGCGUGAGUGAUGAAGGCCCUAGGGUUGUAAAGCUCUUUCAGCUGGGAAGAUAAUGACGGUACCAGCAGAAGAAGCCCCGGCUAACUCCGUG
rnacentral:rRNA from 1 species